GCACAAGCAGCGGAGCGUGUGGUUUAAUUCGAUGUUACACGAAGAACCUUACCAGGGUUUGACAUGCAAGUGGUAGGAAGCCGAAAGGUGACCGACCCUUCGGGGAGCUUGCACAGGUGCUGCAUGGCUGUCGUCAGCUCGUGUCGUGAGAUGUUCGGUUAAGUCCGCUAACGAGCGCAACCCUCGCUGUGUGUUAUAUGUGUCACACGGGACUGCCGGUCUUAAGCCGGAGGAAGGUGGGGAUGAUGUCAAGUCAGCAUGGCCUUUAUAUCCUGGGCUACACACACGCUACAAUGGCCAACACAAUAGGUUGCUAAGCCGCGAGGUGGCGCCAAUCCUGAAAGCAGGCCUCAGUUCAGAUUGCAGUCUGCAACUCGACUGCAUGAAGCCGGAGUUGCUAGUAACCGCAGGCCAGCAAUACUGCGGUGAAUACGUUCCCGGGUCUU
rnacentral:rRNA from 1 species